UGUCAAUUAAAGCCCCUAAUUAAAAUUGAUCCUGAUUUUCCCUACCCCUCGUUUCCCAAAUUCUUCCUUUUCCUUUCCCAAAUUCUGCUUCCCCUCACUCCUUAUUUGUGGUUUAUAUUCUGCUCUCACUCUUUCUUAGUAUAAAAAUCUGCCCUUUGUUUCUCUUUUUCUUUCCCUUUCCCAAAUUUGAAAUUGCAUUUUGGGCUAUUAAAAGUUGGAAGAGAUGCAUGUUGAAGGCCAAAAUGUUUCUGAGUUAAGUAGAAUAAUAAGGCGCUCUAAAUGAGCUUCAAUGGCUUCUUCCCAUCAAAAGAUAUCUGUUGCAGUUGUGACAAAGUUUGUAUGGUGGAAUGAAGAAGCAAUAUCCAGAAACACUCUAUUUUUUUCUCAGUUAAUAACAAUGGUCAACAAAGAACUGAAGGUCAAACAACUUUGAAGAAAUUAUGGACCCUACCUUUAAACAAGCAUAUUAUAGUGUCUGCAAACUCUAAAGGCAACUAAUUGGUAAAGAGUGUUAACAGUUAGUUGGAUUUUUAGGAAUGGUUGCCCAUAAUGGAAUGAAAUUUCUUAUUCAUUAUGAAAUAUGGCAUAAAGUUCCAGCAAAAGUUAAA